AUUGAACGCUGGCGGCAGGCCUAACACAUGCAAGUCGAACGAGUGGCGGACGGGUGAGUAAUGUCUGGGAAACUGCCCGAUGGAGGGGGAUAACUACUGGAAACGGUAGCUAAUACCGCAUACCAUCGGAUGUGCCCAGAUGGGAUUGGCUAGUAGGUGGGGUAACGGCUCACCUAGGCGACGAUCCCUAGCUGGUCUGCGAGGAUGACCAGCCACACUGGACUGGAGACACGGUCCAGCCUCCUACGGGAGGCAGCAGGGGGGAAUAUUGCACAAUGGGCGCAAGCCUGAUGCAGCCAUGCCGGGUGUAUGAAGAAGUCCUGCGGGUUGUAAAGUACUUUCAGCGAGGAGGCGUUACUCGCAGAAGAAGCACCGGCUAACUCCGUGCCAGCAGCCGCGGUAAUAC
rnacentral:rRNA from 1 species